CACUGUGGCAAGCCCCAUACGGGGGACGCGGCCAACCUUCUCUUCUCUCCAUCCCUGUUUCUCUGUCCUCCGGUUGGACCCUUCUCUCUAAGCGGAUCUCUCUCUGCUCUCCUCGGCCUCCGCCAUUCCUGCUCUACAGCAAGCACACUUCCCACUCAUCAUCUCUGCCCGUGGACAAGAAACUCCCCCGCUUUUUUUUCCACAUUGAAAGCCUGCUCCCGAGGUUGAAGAAAGCUUUGCCUCUGACUCAUCCAAAGGUAGAGCCACGCACAGAUGGGGGGGCUGUAGAGGCCUUUUGACGGCUCGCUAGCCAAAUUUAACGACAUUUUCAGAAACUUUAGAUCACUGAGGGUGAGAUGAGAUCUCUCAGACACUUCCAUCUCUAUAAAUUUGAUGCAAUUUUCAGAGACAUUGGGUGAUUGAGGAUCAGACGAGAUUUUUCAGAGCUACCCAUCUCUGGCAAUCUGACGCCGGUUAGAGAAAUACGAGAUAAUUGAGGGAGAGAUGAGAUCUCUCAGACACUUCCAUCUCUAUAAAUUUGAUGCAAUUUUCAGAAACAUUGGGUGAUUGAGAAUCAGACGAGAUUUUUCAGAGCUACCCCUCUGGCAAUUUGAUGUCAGUUUGAGAAAUACAAGAUAAUUAAGAGCAAGAUGAGAUCUUCGAGACCAAGCCAUUUCCAGAAAUUGGAUCCCAUCUUCAGAAAUACGAGGUAAUCGAGGACCAGACGAGAUUUUACAGAGAAUUUCAUGCCAUUUGAGAAAAUAUGAGAUAAUUACGGUUGAGAGGAGCUACUUCGGGCAGCAACUCUAGGAAUUUAUCGCCAUUUUCAGAAAUUCUUGUUACCUUUGAGAAAUCCAUCCCAAGAAACUUGAUGCCAAUUCCAGGGACAGCCAAAGUUCGAAUGACUGAAAUAGGAGGAAUUGAAAAUUUGCAAGUACAAAAAAUAUGAAAACAGCAUGGACAAGACAGCUAGUUGCCAUGGCACUGAAACACGCUUCGAUUGAGGACCUUUCAAACCAGGAGCGAUUAGAUUGCUCUUGGCCAAUGCUCAUGGAUGGACCCAUGCCAAUGGAAUAUCAGAAAACUUAGGAGAGGGACCAUGGUUAGCCCCUAGAUAUGAAAGCCAAAGAGUAACUGCACAAGGUAACAAGAAUGUGCCACCGAUCUUCUAGAAUAUGUUAUUUUUGGCGUCUUUUCAUAGUUAGUGAUACAUGACAGAAUUUAUUCCUAGAGUCUGGAAAACCAGUAUUGUGAAGACAAACUUUAGUACCAUACUGUUCAAGUGACACUAUACAGGAGAUUUGCAUGCGACGAAAGAAAAAAAUAAUUGAAGAAGGAUAUAUAGUCCUUGUGUGUAUUUCGGUGCCAAACUAGCAUGGUUUAUGUCUGGAAUGGCGUUCAUAACUCCGUUCUGAAGAGCACAUUUUUGUCCGGUGAUUUCUUCAUUUGUAUCAUGAGUUGGGUUAUUUUCGAGACUCUAGAUCAGCAUUUAAUGAUCACCUGACGCUACCCACUUUCUAGAGAAACCCAUAAAAAAUACCAAAUUUGGACAAAUUUGAGAAGAACCGGUUCAAAUUUGAACAUGUGUUGGACAAUACUGGAGUAAACCAAACGUUUGGUGCAAAAAACAUGACCAACAUAAAUAAAAUCUCUGAGAUUAGCAGCAUAAAAAGGUAUCCAACAGCAUAAAUAUAUAUCUAAAAGGAAUUAGCAUAAAAUUCUGUCUUAUUAAAUCUCAUUUCACUUUGAUUCACGAACUCAAAGAAAUAGAGGUUUUUUCUACAACAAGGCAUUAUCCAAAACGAGAAGGGUUGAGUUCAUCUUCCAGCACAAAGAAGCACACUGGAGAGCUUGAUCAUGUCCAUGAAGAAGCUUCCAAAACCAACCCAGGAGGAGACCCACAACAUAGGAACCAUAACCAGUUCUGCAUCAACGCCACAGAACAGAGAGAAGACUUGUGCCCCCCCACCCCCCCACCCCCAUAUUCCCUUCACGGAGUCAAAUCUCAUCAGUCAUGGCUCUCAUCUCUCCAAAGUCCACCCUUAUUUUUAUCAAUCGCAUGCCCCAGAAUUACCCUAUGAAGCAAUAAUGCAGAUGUGUCUGAUCCACAUAACUCAGAUGAGGAGGGCCAUUCCAUAUCCUGAAAGGAAAUAGAAACGAGAUGAACUAAAGCAUGUGGUUGUUCGCACAGGCAACAGUAGAAGGUAUAACAACCCGAAAGGACCGCAAUUGGCCACCGCCCCACUUAUUCUGUGGACACAUAGCCCAACCCUUGCUUGCAUUUACGGCUGGCAACCACUGCAGAGGCGACCGAAAAGAAAUUUCACUCUAAUUUUUAUGAUUUACACCAAACCAGUUUUAUGUGUCGCAUCUUGCAACGUUGGCUCUAUGCGCUCCAAUGUUACUUGGCAUGACUAUAAACUUCAUACCAAAUAUAGUACAUAUAUAUAUAGAUAGAUAGAUAGAGAGAGAGAGAGAUCAAUGGCGUAAUAGCUAGGAUUUUCAGUUCUUCUUGAAAGCAAUUUAAGCUAGCUUUCUUAAAGUGGAUGGACCUUGGACGAACAAAAAUUACGGCUCAACCCUUUAAUAAUCAUAAAGAUAAUUUUCUCCACCUGUGGCUCCAGUGAAACUUAGAAAGAUAUGUUCAAUUAGCCACACAGUGAUCCUCCCCUAAAAUGCCCAUAUCUGUCUUGGGUUACACCGAAGCAGGAUUCUUGGCACACGCGGUAAGACAUCAACUUCAAACUUUAGAUCACCAUGGGACGGCAUAUCCCUCCCAAAACUGAAUAUCAUUAAAUGAGCUGGCUUAUGAAUCUACUAAGUAAAUAGAACAGUAACACAGAUUUCAUGAAAAAAAUAUAAAAAUAAGUGAAAUAAUAAGGGCUAAUUACGACAGUACAACUCAGAGCACUGUCGAAGGUUGUUCAAGGUAUGAUUGCGCAUCUAAAAACUGCGCUUUCAAGGGCUACAUGGAAAAAAAUCAUAAAUAGACCUGAAGAAUAUUGUAAGCAUUGACAAGAUUUUCUGUGCAGCAGCUCUCCUCAAAAUUUUAUAGUUAACAGCCCGUGACAAAAAAUGGGCUUUAUUCUUCCACAUCCCAAGAUUGAUGGCAUGUGAGUGUGUCGGAUAAGAUCAUAUAAAAAUGAAUGGACGUCCAGCAUCAUCCGGGGUUGUCAUAUCUCUCUCCUAACAGGGUCGGAAAAGGGCAGAGAUACUGGUGAUUCUUACAUAUUUAUGCAAAAAUCUAGACGAAUACAUACUGGGCUUUCUCAACGAGCAGAUCAUGUGACACCCUUGUGGAAGAUGAAGGGAUUACAUGAUCCCAGGAAGAACUUGGCACUCCCAAAUGUGGUGAGAUGAACCUGGAAAAAGGCGUGCUUUCGGAAAGGGACAUGAACCAGGGGAUGGUCAAGAAGUAUUAUCACUCUGAGACCUUGAUUGGACUGAGUUCCCAACGGGACCUUCCUUAACAUGCCCCGGCAUACACGGAAACGGAAAACAGGAAGCUAACAGGGAGGGGAGGAAGGUCAGGGGUGCAUGAGUUCGAGGCUCAGCAGUGCCCCAAAAAAAAACAGCACCGACUUGGCAAAGAUUCUUCGGCUCAUUGAGGGAAGGUCUGAAUGUUCAAAUAGAGUAGCCCUGUUCAGCUCGAAUUUCGCAGUUAUUCAAAGGUUUUUGUGGCUGAUACUUGCCACGAUGAUGAUGAUGAUGAUGAUGAGGAGGAUGAUGGGCACUCUGAAAUGGUUCAACUUCUCCCACCAUGAUCUUUCUCAGAUCAGGGGAGUUCAACUUCUCAUCGAGGUCGGAAUUGGGCGACGAACUUGGAUUUUCCCUUGUUUUCGAUAUGCGGAUAGAAUGAAUACUUUCCCCGGAUAAGGAGAAAUCGGAUGAAAGGAGAGACGCCGAUACACGAAACAGAUUUCGUACCAUUUCUGCCCCGAAGAAGGUCCCGACUGGCCAACCUUCACGCCACCAACGCCGUCGCCAUCACCUUCAACGGAUCGUCAUCACAUCAAGCCCUACCCCACACCUCGUCUCUCCGCUAUCUCCGCCACCAGGCCUUCCAUGAUCCUGAAGCAAUCCUCCGCCGCGACAUCGGAAGACCCUGCGCGUCAAAUCCCAUGGUGGGAACGGAUUCCCCCCCGGGAGAGAGAGCCAUUCACGCCUCCGAAUCAGCCAUGAAAGGUCGCUUCAACCUGAAGAACCACGUCGCCAUCUUCCCACUCCCAUCCCCCACGCAAUCAUCAAUCAUUCCCUCCGUUUCGUCGGGAGCAAGCGCCGGAUUCCCUCUCUAACCCCUCCCCCAGAUCAGAUCGCCCUCGACGCCGGCCCAGAACGAUUGCGAUCGCGACGAAGCCGCCGCGCCCUCCGACCCGCCACCAUCGAUCUUGGCUCCAUCUACG
rnacentral:lncRNA from 1 species